rnacentral:tRNA from 1 species
CGCGGGGUAGAGCAGUUGGCAGCUCGGCGGGCCCAUAACCCGCAGGUCGUAGGUUCGAGUCCUACCCCCGCUA